CGGGAGGCUAAGGCAGGAGAAUCACUUGAACCUGGGAGGCAGAGGUUGCAGUGAGCCGAGAUUGCACCACUGCACUCCAGCCUGGUGACAGAGUGAGACUCCGUCUCAAAAAAAAAAAAAAAAAAACCCGUGUAGGAGUACUGCCUCUCUGCUCUAGCAGUGGUCCUUCUACUGACAGUGCUGUCAGAGUCUGGUCUCCUAAAGAGCCAGGUCAUUUUCCAUUGUGUCAACUCAGAUGGUUGAGAUGUCCUUAGAUAUUCCUAGCUUGCCUAAAUAACUAGUCAGCAAUCUAUUUAAAUGUGAAGAGCCUAUCUCUGGUCUUUAAAUAAACACACACACACACACACACCCCUAGGAAAAGGAAUUCCUGAAACUUUUCAUUAUUGCAUAUGUUUCUGAUCAAGCAAUAUGUUAACCCUCUAAGUAGGAUUAGUGUCCCAUGAGUAUUUCUUCCAGCAGAAUCAUGUCUGCCUAAUGCUAAUCAGGAAUGUUGCAAACUGAAAUGCUCCUUUCCCCACUGCCCCCUAAUGACCACUUUCAGGAGGAAUACAUACAUUCUCUUGAUUUGUUUGUCCCCUUUCAGGCUGAUUCUCCACUUCCACCUGGAAGAAAAGACAGUAUUCCUUGAACUCCAUGACCUACUGGUACAGGAUCUACACUUAUGCCAUUGGCUUUCUGUCACUCCGCAACUUGUACUUUUUUUUUUGAGACAGGGUUUCACCCUGUCAGCCAGGCUGGAGUGCAAUGGUGUGAACGUGGCUCACUGUCGUCACUGCAGCCUUGAUAUCUCAAGCCCAAGUGAUCCUCCCACCUCAACCACCUGAGUAGCUGUGCCACCACACCCGGCUAAUUUUUGUAUUUUUUGUAGAGAUGGAGUUUCACCUUGUUGCCCAGGCUGAUCACAAACUCCUGGGCUCAAGCAAUCUCCCCACUUAGGCCUCCCAAAGUGCAGGGAUUAUAGGCAUGAGCCACCGCACCCCGCAGUACUUUCCCUCGUAUACAAGCUACUCUCCUGAAAAAAAUAGCAGGAACCCAUUCCAAUGUCCAAGCUCCCCUAAAGUGCCAACUCAGAAUAACUUUCAUGUUUAAAAACAGCUGUCUUCACAUUGCCCAUUGUGAGGUUGUAAAAGGAAGUUAAGAUGUCAAGCAAUUUAGAUUCUGUUACCCAUUUCCCUAUGAAAAGAGAUGUGUUAAAAGUCUUUAACUACUUAAAGGGUCAUCAUGAAAAAUAAGAAUUCUAUUCCAGAAGACAGAGUUAUACACAGGGAGGUGUAUUAUAUACUUGCUAAUAAAUUUUUGUGUAGGCUCUUUAGUAAAUUUAUCUGAUAAUGGAAUAAUCAGCCUUUUUGGUGGAAAGGUACAUACAGAAGCUAAAUCAUCAUCUGUUAAUAGUGUUUAAGAGAUUUCUUCAUUGAGAUGGAAUAUGGGCAAGAUGACCUUUAAGGUCUUUUUCACUUUUAUCAUUGGAAAUCCCCAGAAGCAAUCUGAUAGUCUUAAAACUUUGUCCUUUCUAAGUCCUUUGUAUUCAUUUUAGAGCUCUUCAGGAAACUAGAGAAUUUUGGACUUUGGUUGACAAAAGCGGUCUGACCUGUGUUCGUAGCUGGGAACAUGAAACACAAAAUUCUGGGUUUAAUCUUCUGAAGAAAUCUAUAAGUAGUUACUGGCAUAAAUGGUAUUACUAUACUAACAAAUUUAAAAGCCUAUAAUGUAUUAAAACUCUUUUUUACUCGAUUACUUUUAUUUUUUUAAGACACAGUCUCGCUUAUUGCCCCGGCUGGAGUGCAGUGGCACGGUCUCAGCUCACUGCAAUCUCCGCCUCCCAGGUUCAAGCGAUUCUCCUGCCUCAGCCUCCCAAGUAGCUGGAAUUAAUUACAGACGCCCACCACCAUGCCCGGCUAAUUUUUGUAUUUUUAGUAGAGAUGGGGUUUCACCGUGUUGCCUAGGCUGGUCUUGAACUCCUGACCUCAAGUGAUCAACCCACCUUGGCCUCCCAAAGUGCUGGGAUUACAGGCAUGAGCCACUGUGCCCAGCCCUCUUGAUAAUUUUUAUUCUUGUUUCUUCUUAUCUGUGGGACUCCAAUUAGAAUGGGGUUGAGAUUGUGGCAUUCAGUUUUAUACCAAUAUUUUACCCAAGUGUGUCAUGGCCUUUUUUAAUCAUUUUAAUAUCCCCAGAAAUGCUAGAAGUGUAAAGGAAUAACAGAGGUAAAUUUGCUGUCAUUUUAUGCCACAUCCUCUUUUCUUACUUUGCUUCUUGAUACAGAUUAUAGAGGUAAUUGUGAAGACAGUUGAACCUUAGAAGAUUGAGCUAAGAUUCUUUUUUUGGCAACCUGCAAGUAAUGUUUCAUUUUUCUAUUACGUGAUCUCUUUGCCCAUACAGUUGGCAGAUGUUUUUUCCCCCUUUUUCUACCUUAAACUUUUUUGUUUGGAGUACAGUCUAAACCAACAUCAGUUAGCCUUGAUUUUCUUUCUUUUUUGGACAAUUGUCUGGUUCAUUGACAAAAGUAACAAGUUUGGAACUAAGAGAUAUGUUACAAGCUGCACUUAACACCACCUGAAAACCCAAGAAUCAUCUGAAGGUUUUGUCAGUAGUAAGGUAGGUUUUGUGUGUGUGUGUGUGUGUGUGUGUGUGUGUGUGUGUGUGUGAAGAUGGAAUAGGGUGAAGGUGAAGAAACAGCUUGACUUGUGCCUGUUUUCAGAUAAAGGAGUAAAGUGAUCUACAAACUGUAACUAUCUUGAAAGAGAAAUUGAUCAUCAGAUGGUCGAGUACUCUUGGAAUGUCUCUUUGCUGUUUACUGUGGCCUCUUUACAAUGGUGAGACUUAUUUCUACCCUCUACUUUCCACUAUUAUUUUUUUCCCCUAUUGGAUAAUACUAGUCUGAGCAGCCCUAAUACUAGAUGUACCUAAACAGAGAUACAAGCCAAGUCAUUGUUCAGUGUAGUCAUUUCUUAGUAUCUGUUUAUAUUUUGUCACACAUCAGAAUGUAUAUUUUAUAGAGCAUGUGUUUGUCUACUUGUUUGUCUACUAUAAUAUGUCUUUAAUAAAGCUAAAAACAUUCUGAU
rnacentral:lncRNA from 10 species